rnacentral:lncRNA from 1 species
UCAGAGACAGGGGCUGUGCCGGGUGGGACCGACUGGCUGCUGGCUGAAGUGAGUUUGGCAUCCUGAGAGAGGCCCGGGACCGCUGUGUGUCCCCCUGCGUGGGCAUCUGCUGUCCUCAUCCCUGCCGUCAGCGUGGGGUCCAGGGCAGUGGUGGGUGCGGCUGGCUGAGGGCUGGGGGUGCUGGCUGUCUUGGAGACACUGUCCCUGGACAGGGAGAGGCCCUGCCCGGCCCAGGGUGGCCCUGAAGAGUCUGCCCCUCUGUCCGUGGGCACCUCAGGGCCCGGCGUACCCAGUGCAGAGCCGUGGGGCAGGGGCCUGUCCUGGACUUCAGCUUCGUGCCCUCGCCAGGCAACAAGCGGCUCCUCUGUCACAGCUGGGACUGUGCUGCCGUCCCUCCAGAUCUUGCUAUCAGCACCUGUCAUAGUGGUUUCCAUCUCCAGGGGUGCCCUGGUGCCAUCCCCUGCCUGCAGAUGUGGGGACCAGUGCACGGGGUGCUUGACCCCCCAGCGCUCACUCCUUGGGGCCCCAGCACCGCUGGGCUCCCCCGAUGCCUCCCAGGCAGGGGAUGGGCCUGGCCACUGCUGUCCCCUGUGCAAGGGGUCCCCACCGAAGGACAGCCCUGCCAGCAGCACCCCCUGGGCUUUGGCGGGGACCCCGGUGGCCAGGAGCAUCCCCCAGGUGACGAGCUGUGCUGCAGCCAUGAUCAAAAAUCAAACGUGACACCAAUGCCCAAAGCAGUGGGAGCUGCCCACAGUCCCAGCUGGGCACCCUGAAGAGAGUUGCUCUGUGGGAACUGGGACUGUCCAGACAUCUCAUCUGCUGGAUCUGCCUGUUGUAUCUUUGGUUUCUGAGAACCACUGGCCUUGAAAAGGGUAUGUUGGAGAAUUCUUUAAUCAGCCAAGAGAUACAAAAGACAAAUGAAGUAGAAACAAAAUAACUUCCUGGAAUCUCUGAAACUGAGGAAUUUCAGCCUGUAAGGAGAAGAGAUACAGUACUGGACAAACCUGAGAUGCUGGGGUUUGGUUUUCCUCAGUUAAACCUCUUCCUGCCAAACAUUCACAAACAACUCCUGAGACAAAUCUGAACCUGAUUGAAAUCAACCAGAACAAUACUACUCUACUAAAAACCUGAACUUUUACAUAGCAAACCAACAGAGAUACUAGGAGUGAGAAACAGAGUGAAGCCUCGGGCCACAGAGAUAGCAUUGUAUCAAUCUAGCUGAGGAGCUUCCAGUAGACCUCGGUGCCAAAUCUGACUGAGCUGACAGUCUGCUCUGCCUGCCCUCUCCUCCCUGGGAAUGUCAGGUACUUCACUGCUGUGUAAAUGUGUAACUCAAGCCCAUGGCAUUUCUGCUGGGAGCAGGGAAGUAAAGCAGCACAGAUCCCUUCAGCUUUCCAAGCCAGGGGAGAGCCCUGCUUAGUCCCUUACAAUAUCUCCAACUGGGCAAUAGCACUUUCAACCAUGCAGGCCUGAGUCUUGCCUCUGACUAUGCCAGUAACACACCUAGAGGAAUAAACUGCAGCUGAAAUGGUCA